rnacentral:rRNA from 1 species
AUGGCGGACCCGGUGAAGGUUGGUCCAUGGGGUGCAGCGGGACAAGGACGCGACAUCAACGUCGGCAGCAGGCCCCAACGCCUCAACACCAUCACCAUUGGCUGGGAACCGUCAUGGGGUUAUGGGAAUGGUCGUAUCAUUGGCAUCUCCUUCGUCUACGUCGACCAGAAUGACAAGGAAAUCACGGUCGGUCCCUGGGGCAAGAUCGACCGGGAACACUCCCGGGCAAUCCAGAUAGACCAAGACGAGAAGCUGUAUGUCGUGAGUGGCACCUUCAACGACGCCGGCGUCACCUCGCUCAUGCUGAAAACCAACAAGACAGAGCACGGGCCCUUCGGCCAUGCGGCAGGGUCCGCCUUCAGCGUGCCCCUGAAGCAGGCCCAGGACGAUGGCGAGGUGGUUGGUGAGGUGGUGGCCUUCUUCUGCCGCUCCAACGACACCCUCCAGGCGCUGGGCGUCUACGUGCUGGGGGAGAAUGGUUUGCCGGUCAUGAUCGGUCCGUGGGGCGGCAUUGUUAACCAACGCAUCUCCACGCCGGUCCAGCUUAAGAGCGUCACUGUCUACAGCACUCAGCGCAUCGAUGGUUUCUCCUUCACCUACGUCGACCAGAAUGGCGACGACAUCCCCGUCGGCACCUGGGGCACCACCAAUGGACAGAAGAAUACGUUUUCCCUGAACGAAGGCGAGUAUGUCAAGGACAUGACUGGCACAUUUGACCUCGACGGCGUGACCUCGCUCAAGUUCACCACCAACCGGGAGCAUGUGCAUGGCCUGUACGGGCGCCUCUCGGGGACUGACUUCCGCGUGCCACUGCCGGACAACGCCGUGGUCGGCAACGACGGCAACCACAACGGCGGCGUGCUCGGCUUCUUCGGCGGUUCCGGGGGGAACAGCCUCGUCGCCCUCGGCGUGUUCGUCGGGGUCGCGCCCGCUCCCAAGCCAUGA